GUUUGUCAUUCACACUCCUUAGGCUCUGGAUCAGUGGCUAUGUAUUAGUCAUGGGAACCAAUUAUCCAAGGGUGUUUGGUUAAGAUGGUUUUAUUGGUGCUGGAGCAUGCAGAAUGACAAUGACUAAUGGUGUCCCACAUACUAUCAUUAUUUACUUCGUCCUCCCGUGUGCCAGGAUGUUUUUGCUUGAGCUGACUUGUUUCCCUUUUUGACUCUCCUUCCUGAAAAUCAUGAUACCAUCCAGUGCAGAAGAGGACGCUGGCGUGUAGAAGAAGAGAGGGAAUAAGAGCAGAAAAAGUUCCCUUGAACCCUGGAGGUUGCAGUGAGCCAAGAUCACGCCACUGUGCUCCAGCCUGGGCAACAGAGUGAGACUCAAUCUGAAAGAAAAAAAAAAAAAAGACAUCACCAAGGGGAUGUACAAAUGUCUUUUUAUUCAAAGAGACAAAAUAAAUUAUCUGUAGGCAUGGACAACAACAGUGGCUACCUGGAUCUCUCAGAAUGGGUUUGUUGGAUGAAUGAAGGCUGAGAAUCUCUUGCUGGUUCCUCUACAACCUGAGCCUGACCUGAUGACUGGCAGUAGUUGCUGAAUUCUACCCUCAACAGUGGUGCAAGUUUGGGCUUCUGGGCCCAUAAACCUAUAUCCCCUGACCCUCUGACCAUCUCUGACCCUCUUGUGAACCAUCUGUUAUUUCAAAAGGUAUCAUACAUUCCUUCCAAAUAAAACUUCAUUUAGCUCA
rnacentral:lncRNA from 1 species